rnacentral:lncRNA from 1 species
GUGUCACCAGUGUGGUAAUCAGGUCACUGUACCUAACCUGUGUGUCACCAGUGUGGUAAUCAGGUCACUGUGUACCUAACCUGUGUGUCACCAUUGUGGUAAUCAGGUCACUGUACCUAACCUGUGUGUCACCAGUGUGGUAAUCAGGUCACUGUACCUAACCUGUGUGUCACCAGUGUGGUAAUCAGGUCACUGUGUACCUAACCUGUGUGUCACCAGUGUGGUAAUCAGGUCACUGUGUUCCUAACCUGUGUGUCACCAUUGUGGUAAUCAGGUCACUGUGUUCCUAACCUGUGUAUCACCAGUGUGGUAAUCAGGUCACUGUGUACCUAACCUGUGUGUCACCAGUGUGGUAAUCAGGUCACUGUGUACCUAACCUGUGUGUCACCAGUGUGGUAAUCAGGUCACUGUGUACCUAACCUGUGUGUCACCAGUGUGGUAAUCAGGUCACUAUGCAGGAGGUGAUGUCAAGAUGACAAGGUGUGGCUCAUCAGGUCUCCUUAGGGAAAUUGUUGGGAUAGAAGUUCGACAUGUUGGAUGGUUGCAUUCAGGGUAAGGAUGCCACACACUGUGUAUCUUUAGCAUCUUUUGGAUCUAUCAUAUAGAUAGUGCUCUUUGAAAUUACAGCAUGAUCUUUACCUAAAGUCUCACUGAAUCCUCCCUGGUUAUCCAGUAUGUUAUGUUUCAACUCUGUUGUGAUAAACACCAAGGAAGCAGUUGUCUGUCACUCUGCAUCUGUGUUGGCAGCAUAAUAAAUAGCACUCUCCCACAAGUGGAAGGGUUUGUGUUGGUCAUCUAUAUAAACAUAAUCAUUCGAGCAGUAAGCACUUGCUACUCCCAGAACAAAUCCUGGUGCUUCAACGCAGAUGUGUUACAAGCUCUGUCACCCAAGUUGUUGUGCUCAGAGCUCUGAGUGGAUCCUGGUUGUGUCCCUUCACACAGUUACAAUACUCGGUGCUAAGACAGGUUAGCACAUGUAUGAUUGAUGUUCUUCAUCCUAGACUUACAACACUUGGUGCUAACAUUGUUUAGCACUACUGUUUGCUUAACUGCUAUACUUUACCUUAGGCAGAAGAUAGUUUUUUGCACAAUGUAUAAUUGUUGUGUUGAACUGGUUCCUGAUCUGUACAUUGACCAAGAUGACUGACUACUUUUCACUGGUGUUGCCCUGAAGGUGUGGCUAUGAAAAUGUGUCAGCCUGGCGGUGUGUCCGUGAUGAUGCCCUGCUGUUGCUGAUGCCCGAAGUCAGGGCAGUAGAUGGUGGAUAGUGAUGGUUCAGCGUUAUACAGGUGUAUCAUCAUUAUCUAGCUUGUAGAAACUGAACAUAAUUUCUCAAAAAUGGGAGUUUCUACAUUCCUGUUGUGUUUCAGCUCGUUUGAUAUUUGAACAGGGUUGUUGAUGCUUGUCGACAUCACACAUGUUGAGGGAUUCAAAUGUUGAACAAUGGAGAUAUUCAAGCAUUUACUGUAUAUUUUCAAUUAUUUCAAUAUCUUCCUACUUUCUAUCUUAAUAGUACUGUUUUACAUCUAGUGUUGUUUUACAAUGAUGAUGUGCCCUCCAAAGAUGUCAGAGAACAUCUUCUUUGACACCCCUCUCUAGUCAUAUCUUGAUCAUCUGAUACCUGUAUGCUCAACAUAACUGUUCAAGUAGAUGACAGUAGGUACCCAUAGCCCUUGUGUAACAAAACUGCAAACCUAUACAUGUUAAUCUGCGUGGGAACAGCGUCAAGUCCUGUUCGCCCAUUUCACGAAGUGAUCUUCACAGAACUCUGUGUUAAAGUAUGGACAUCAGGAUCCUCCAGCACUAAGAUCAGUCUGUUGAAUCCUGAAUGCCGGUGUACAACCUUAGAGCUACAUACAUCAAUGUGACGGUAUAGGAGUUAUGAUCACCGGAACACCAAGAUAGCAUUGAACAACCCUGGUCACUAAGACCAGUAGUCUGUUGAAGCCUGAUGGAUGACGGGCUAGGAGCUGUGUUGGCCAUUGUUACUAGACGAUUUUACUUUAAAUAGGUGUGCUGCACAGUACACCCAAAUAUACAGGACUUGUAAGGAAACUACACUGCACUACACUGCCGCCAUUAGAUUACCCUACAGGAAAUUAAUUAGUAAAAGCCUCACUCAUUGAAGUAGAGUCAGAUAUGAAGUUGAUGAAGCUAACAGAUCUAGAGUGGCCAUCAUUCAGAACAGAUUUUGGAAUAUAUGUACUGGAUAAUCCAAGUGGCUGUGUCCCUCAUAAAAUCAGUCUUUCCAUUAGGUGAUCUUCAUGCAUUGAUAUUCAUGAGUGGAACUUUGGGAGUUAUGAUAGCUGGGGUGCAAAGAUUGCUUUGGGGCCAAGGUAAAGUGGAAGAGGUGUUCCAGAUUUGUACUCAGUCUGCCACCUGUGGAGAGGGCCAUGCUUGUAGUUCUGGUACAAGCUGUGAUUACUUCUUGUCUUCAUGGAUGCCUCAUCGGAGAUGGAAGCUGGUGUAUAUUGUUGUUUACAGGAAUCAUUUGGCUCCAGGCAUCAUGGUGGAUGCAUGGUUUAUACACAAUCAUCCUUGUAUUCAGCAGUGAUGAUGACUGAAGCUUCUCAAGUUGAGACAUGUGGCUGUAUUUAUGACUAUUGCUUUGAAUUAUUUAUGUAUGUUGAUAUAUAUAUUUGUUCUACAUUGUUUAAUUAUAAUGUGUUGAUUCUAUACUGAUAUCAUAUCAUGGUGCUUUCUUUUCCUUUUAAGAUUUAUUAUCAUUUGUAAAAUUUCUUUUGACAUAUCAUGUAGAUAUGGUGAACCUGUUAUAUUGCUUGUUUAAGAACAGUUUGUUUUCACCUAUUGUCUGGUAUGAGAGUUGUUUGUUCUGAAGCGGUUGGCAUGUCAACUUUUAUCGGAAGUUAUUAAUGCAACGAAACUUACAUUUCAGCUUUAAUUGUUGAUGCCACAACCCCUGUGCAUACUUGUAUAGCAGACUAUUGUGUUGUGAUGGUGUAUAUGCCAGGGUCAAGGUCAUGGGUAGUCAUGUUAAACUAUUCUGUGGACCAGGAAUUGCUUUGCCACAAAGAGUCCCAAGUCUCAGAAAGAUGCCGUUACCUGUACUGUGUUGAUCUGCCUACUCAGUCUGUGUUGGCAGAACUUACGUUUGUGUUUUCUAGGUCAGUGCUUUCAUUUAACAUGAACUUCAUGUUGGAGAUCGGUCUACCAUAAUUAACAUGAUUAAUAUAUUUCCCUCAAAACCAAAACACUUCUUUUUAGAAUAGUUUGUGAGGAUUUCAGUGGAGAGUGCAUUCAUUUACUAUACCCGUGGUCACUGUAUGGAAAAGGAGGCAUCUAUUCUUUGACUUGACCAGAUGUGUUUGUUCUAGUUACUUCUCUGUGUUUCAAUACAGAAUGUAAAUCCUGCAAUGCAUUCAACAGCUGUUGUAUUCAAUUAUUGAGUCCAUGUGACCCGACUGUGUUGUUAGUCCAGUGAAUUGUCUCCGUUCUGUGACGAUUAACACCAUGGACCCAUUAUUUGUUUCAGAAGUCACCAUUUUUAUCUCUCUUGUCACUAGCUGAAUGCAUAAUUUCUCUUGCUCAUGAGUUUGACAUCUACAUCUUCAACCAGUAUAACUGAUUCUUCUGGGCAUAAUUUCGACACAUAUUUACUUCAGCAGCAAACCCUGCUACACUCAGGUAAAAUAAACGGAUAAAAAAGAAAUGUAUUGCUGGAAAAGAUGUUUUGUAAGUAUUAAGAACAUCUUUACACCAGUCAUGAGAAAUUUCAAGUUGAUUGGACAGAUGUGUUUAAUGUCCUUGGUGUUGGUGUUAAAUGGGUCCUGUGUAUAUCUAAUAGAAUGGAGACUUACUUGUCAAUAAUGUUAGGACCUAUACAGAAAAAUUAGAAUAGCUAUCAAAGCAGUUUUUUAACAUCAGUCAUGUCUACUUGUCCUCUGUCUGCUUCUAAAACAGGAGAUACUGGUUAGCAGAGGAUGAUCAGUGGAGUCCUUCAUGUGUCCAGUGUUGUGUUGCUGUAGCAUCUGUGUUGAGUGCACACCUGUACAUAGGGCACGACGGCAGCCAACUGUUGAUUCUGUACUAUGCACACUGUUAUGCUAAGUUGAUCCAUCCAUAGUCUACUGCUGGGAUAAGUGACAUGUAUUUCUUACACCAGCUCCAUCUUGAGGCCAUCUUGGCUCACUUUGUCCGGUAGAGCUGACUGUGGAUGACUGGAGUGGAGAUUGCUUGAAGGUGGAGCUGAAAUAUUUUGUUUUGAUAACUUUAGGGAGGGGAUGUUACUUAUGCCUUGUCAAGAAUACGGAAGCUUGACACAUCUUUGUAUAAUUUGCUCUUUAAAUAUAUUUCAUUGUAUUAAUACAUAAACAUUAGUUCAAGUUCAUAUUGACAAUUAAGCAUGCACCUUAGUGAAUGGCAGAUUCAAGUGUUAUAAAAAUCAUCAUAUCUGCCAUCCUUGCCUCUCCCAUGGGUUCAGAGUUGAUGUUGAACAACAUUUUGUCUGCUGCUUGUUUUGUCCUAAGUUUGUGUAAUAUGAACAGGAGGAACCUUUCUGUCAGGAAGCACCUGGUAUUUCGCCUCGAAGCUUCUUGAUGAUGUGUCAUGUGAAGGAUCCACACCUGACUUCACUGGGGCCCUAGAAAUGCUUCAGUUUGGUUUGGCUACAUAAAAAUACAACUCACGUGAUUACACUUGUAAUUGUCAACAUUUCAUGUUUAAUGUUCUCUGAUCUCAUUAAUAAUACAACUGUAAAGCAAUAUUUGAACUCUUAGUGCUGAUAAUAGGUUUCCCUCCAUGAACUUCUGGCAAGGUUUGAUGUACAGGCAAGUCCCAUGUGGGGCUCCACCAAGUGGUCCUUGCAGGGUAGGACCCUAGGGAUCUCAGGACCAAUGGCACCCAGUUAUAAUGGAAACAUCUGACUGACACACCUGACAAGUCAGCCCACCUGAUUGGCCUGUGGUGGAAGUAGAGCACCAGGCUUCACACACAAUCACAGACUGGCAGCGCCUGGAAAGAAGGGACUUGGCUGUGUUUGGUUUCAUAUCCCCAAACCCAUGCAAUCUCUGCACUUGCUGAAUGACAGGAAAUCAUGGUUCUUUAUUCUAUGUUAUGUUUGCUGCUGUUAUUUUCCUGCUUUAUUGAAAACAAUAUGCUGUUUACUUAAAACUUGUUGAGUGAAUACAGAACAUAUUGAACGCCUGUGCUGCAAUCCGAAGGUUCUGAGAACCUCAGUUGUUUGGGAGUUGGGAGUUCAGUACACUGGGGUUACUAUAUCCUAGCUAUUAUGAAAUCCUGUAGACAUGUUCCAGCUAUCAACACUGGAACGGUGAUAGUAUGAGCGUGGGCCUUGUGAGGACAGCGGAAGAUGGAAGACACAACUCAGGGUCCACUUGACACCUACCCCUGCAAACUUGUACAUACGGUAGCGAGACCCUGACAGAGGUGGGGUUACCAUGGUUACGUAGAAGUGCUUUGUUCCACAUCACCACCAGCUUUGUGUAUACAGCAUCAGAGUAGGGAAAACAGGCCUGAUGCCAUGGCUGCAGCAGUGAACCAUCGGGUGAUUUGUAAGUUCUGUUGACUUUGCAGCUUUGUUUUUAACAUAUACAGCAAGUUCUUAAUAAAUAUCAGUUUGGUAA